UCGAGCGGUAGCUCCUAUUGGUUAAAGCCGAUAGGAGUGAGAGCGGCGCACGGGUGAGUAACACGUAGGUAACCUACCCCAGAGAGGGGGAUAACAUCUCGAAAGGGGUGCUAAACCCCCAUAUACUUACCGAGCGAGAUGCUCAGGUAAGGAAAGGGUAUAGAGGGGUAACCCUCUAUGCUGCUCUGGGAUGGGCCUGCGGCCUAUCAGCUAGUUGGUGGGGUAAAGGCCCACCAAGGCUAAGACGGGUAGCCGGCCUGAGAGGGUGGUCGGCCACACUGGGACUGAGACACGGCCCAGACUCCUACGGGAGGCAGCAGCCGGGAAUCUUCCGCAAUGGGGGAAACCCUGACGGAGCGACGCCGUGUGAGGGAAGAAGCCCUUCGGGGUGUAAACCUCUUUUCUCGGGGAAGAAGGCAUGACGGUACCCGAGAAAAAAGCCCCGGCUAACUACGUGCCAGCAGCCGCGGUAAGACGUAGGGGGCGAGCGUUGUCCGGAUUUACUGGGCGUAAAGGGCGUGUAGGCGGCUUAGCAAGUCAGAUGUGGAAGCCCCGGGCUCAACUCGGGGAGGACAUCUGAUACUGCUAAGCUAGAGGGCAGGAGAGGAGAGCGGAACUUCCGGUGUAGCGGUGAAAUGCGUAGAUAUCGGAAGGAACGCCGGUGGCGAAGGCGGCUCUCUGGACUGUCCCUGACGCUGAGGCGCGAAAGCUAGGGGAGCGAACGGGAUUAGAUACCCCGGUAGUCCUAGCCGUAAACGAUGGGCACUA
rnacentral:rRNA from 1 species